rnacentral:rRNA from 1 species
CCUACGGGUGGCAGCAGUGAGGAAUAUUGGUCAAUGGCCGGAAGGCUGAACCAGCCAUGCCGCGUGAAGGUCAGUGCCCUAUGGGCGUUAAACUUCUUUUGUGCGGGAGCAAUAAUGGUCACGUGUGGCCAGACGAGAGUACCGUACGAAUAAGCAUCGGCUAACUCCGUGCCAGCAGCCGGGGUAAUACGGGGGAUGCAAACGUUAUCCGGAUUUAUUGGGGUUAAAGGGGUCGUAGGGUGGGAGGUAAGUCAGCGGUGAAAUGCCCCCGCUCAACGGGGUGAAGUGCCAUUGAUACUGCCUUGCUGGAAUGCGGAUGCCGUGGGAGGAAUGUGUGGUGUAGCGGUGAAAUGCAUAGAUAUCACACAGAACACCGAUUGCGAAGGCAGCUCACGAGUCCGCGAUUGACGCUGAUGCACGAAAGCGUGGGUAUCAAACAGGAUUAGAUACCCUUGUAGUC